ACCGCGGGCGCUGGUGCCAAGAUGUCGGCGACGGCGGUGCCGGAGCUGAAGCGGAUCAGUCGGGUGGAGGCGAUGCGCCUGGGCCCCGGCUGGAGCCACUCGUGCCACGCCAUGCUGUACGCCGCGAACCCGGGCCAGCUCUUCGGCCGCAUCCCCAUGCGCUUCUCGGUGCUGAUGCAGAUGCGCUUCGACGGGCUGCUGGGCUUCCCCGGUGGCUUCGUAGACCGGCGCUUCUGGUCGCUGGAGGACGGACUGAACCGGGUGCUGGGCCUGGGCCUGGGCUGCCUGCGCCUCACGGAGGCAGACUACUUGAGCUCGCACCUGACCGAGGGCCCGCACCGCGUCGUGGCGCACCUGUACGCGCGGCAGCUGACGCUGGAGCAGUUGCACGCCGUGGAGAUCAGCGCGGUGCACUCGCGGGACCACGGCCUGGAGGUACUGGGACUUGUCCGUGUCCCUCUAUACACCCAGAAAGACCGAGUUGGGGGCUUUCCCAACUUCCUGAGCAAUGCCUUUAUCAGCACAGCCAAGUACCAGCUCCUGUUCGCCCUCAAGGUGCUCAACAUGAUGCCGGAGGAGAAGCUGGCUGAGGCCCUGGCCGCUGCCACAGAGAAGCAGAAGAAGGCCCUGGAGAAGCUGCUUCCAUCUUCCUCCUGAGCACCCUCUGCGGGCGCCCCCAGGAGUCGGCCCGGCAGCACCAGCCGAGUGUGCGGUGACGGCAGUGGAGCCGCCCGGGCCAGGAGGGUCACCUCUGGCGGUCUCCUCGGUGCGGAAAGACUUCUCAGUGAAGCUGGCGGGUUCUGUGGCGCCGGCCUGGCUGCUUGUCCCUGUCGCCUGACGUCAGUGCUGAUGCUGGUCCAGCGUUUCUCCUCUCCAGGCUCAGGGAGGCUGAGAUAAGCAUGGAAACCAGGGGACGAGACAGGAACCUCCGUGGAGGGACGGACAGAUAGCCUGCUCCUCUCCCCAGCAUGAACCCUCGGCUGAGUAGUCUUCUAGGUCAUGUGGAGAAUCCCGCCGCCCCACCCUUCUCAACAGUACCAGCCCACACGAAGUACCAAUAAACACCUCAGCAAUCCAA